CGGUAGGUGGGGGAAUAAGGACCGGGCCUACUACGUGGCAGCAGUCCGCGGUUAAUACGUAGGUCCGAGCGUUGUCCGAAAUAUUGGGCGUAAAGAGCUCGUAGGCGGCAUGUCGCGUCUGCUGUGAAAAGACCGGGGCUUUAACUCCGAUUCUGCAGUGAUACGGGCAUGCUAGAGGUAGGUAGGGGAAACUGGAAUUUCCUGGUGUAGCGGUGAAAUGCGCAGAUAUCAGGAGGAACACCCGGUGGCGAAGGCGGGUUUCUGGGCCUUACCUGACGCUGAGGAGCGAAAGCAUGGGGAGCGAACAGGAUUAGAUAUCCUGGUAGUCCAUGCCGUAAACGUUGGGCGCUAGGUGUGGGGACUUUCCACGGUUUUCCGCGCCGUAGCUAACGCAUUAAGCGCCCCGCCUGGGGAGUACGGCCGCAAGGCUAAAACUCAAAGGAAUUGACGGGGGCCCGCACAAGCGGCGGAGCAUGUUGCUUAAUUCGACGCAACGCGAAGAACCUUACCAAGGUUUGACAUCACCCGUGGACCUGUAGAGAUACAGGGUCAUUUAGUUGGUGGGUGACAGGUGGUGCAUGGCUGUCGUCAGCUCGUGUCGUGAGAUGUUGGGUUAAGUCCCGCAACGAGCGCAACCCUUGUUCCAUGUUGCCAGCACGUAAUGGUGGGGACUCAUGGGAGACUGCCGGGGUCAACUCGGAGGAAGGUGGGGACGACGUCAAGUCAUCAUGCCCCUUAUGUCUUGGGCUGCAAACAUGCUACAAUGGCCGGUACAAUGGGCGUGCGAUACCGUAAGGUGGAGCGAAUCCCUUAAAGCCGGUCUCAGUUCGGAUUGGGGUCUGCAACUCGACCCCAUGAAGGUGGAGUCGCUAGUAAUCGCGGAUCAGCAACGCCGCGGUGAAUACGUUCCCGGGCCUUGUACACACCGCCCGUCACGUCAUGAAAGUCGGCAACACCCGAAACUUGUGGCCUAACCCUCGGGGAGGGAAGAGGAAGGUGGCUGGCGAUUGGC
rnacentral:rRNA from 1 species